GAAGGAAGGAAGGAAAGAAAAGAAAGAAAUUUCUAAAAAAGAAAUUGUGGCUCCUACUUCUUUGAAUCCUCUGAAGUGCUCAGUCUUGCCCUGAAUAUAGGCUUAAUUUCAAACAUUUCUGUAGCUAAUGAAAAAGAAGUUUGAUUGUAGAGGGCAAUAUGAUAAAGGCAUUAAACAAGACACACACAGCUGCUUUCUUACCUGCAAAGCCAGCCUUUCCUCCCAAAUGCACAUAGUCAUUAGUAAAAAGCUAAAUUUAAAGCCAUGAUAAAAUAGCCAGCCAGUUGCUAAACAAAGGCAUCUUAGAUACAUCUUCAUUUGUUUGCAUUCUACACUGAAAAGUCAUCAAACAUCCCCAGAUAGAUGGAGAGAAAGAGCAGGUAUUAAGCCAGAGCUGUGAUUCCUAAGCCUAUCCAGGCAGUGACAUUCCUGUGACUUUGCAAGGACAAGAAAGUCACCAGCACAUGCCACAUGUCUUACAGACUGUCCAUAAGCCAAAAGUGGUCCUCAUGCUGAUGGCAAGAGAUGGAAUUUGAAAAAAGAGAUACCUCUUGCAUAUUUCAAAGUCUCUCCAGUAAUUUGAGGGGAAAAAUAUCAAAAAUAAAGAUGAAAGUCUAGCAAACUAGUAGAACACAGAAAAGGGGGCAUAAGUCCCUGUAUCCUAAUGCUGGCUGGCUUCCAGCAUGUCAUUUUGUAUACAUUUGUCAUUUUGUAUAAAGACAUCAAUGAGGAAUACAUGACUGGGUGCAAUAACUGACCUUGGCCUUGACACCAGUCCUGACCCCACUAGGUCUUCCCUGUACACUGGCCCCCUGCCCUCCAUGUCUUCAGCCACCUUCCUUUGGCUCGAACAUUCCCAUAGCUGCCUUGAUGGAACACUACCCAGCAGUUUCCCACUCUGAUUCUUCCCUACUUAAGGACCCUUGAAAGAGCAGAAGAGAGAAUGACCCACAGCCAGAGAGUAUAUGAACCUCUGAGUCAGCUAACCCAGCAAUAGUUAUGCCUUCUAGAGAGGGAGUCCACACCAGGCCAUGGGGAGGAGUCAUCCAGCUUCAAUAUCUAUAACAAAGACUUAUUUCACUUGCUUAGGAGAACUCAAGUUUAAAAUAGUGAGUGAGACUUUUUUUAGCAUUGCCCAAAAGAUGAAACUGCAG
rnacentral:lncRNA from 10 species